rnacentral:rRNA from 1 species
CUGACGAGUGGCGGACGGGUGAGUAAUGCUUGGGAAUCUGGCUUAUGGAGGGGGAUAACGACGGGAAACUGUCGCUAAUACCGCGUAUUAUCGGAAGAUGAAAGUGCGGGACUGAGAGGCCGCAUGCCAUAGGAUGAGCCCAAGUGGGAUUAGGUAGUUGGUGGGGUAAAGGCCUACCAAGCCUGCGAUCUCUAGCUGGUCUGAGAGGAUGACCAGCCACACUGGAACUGAGACACGGUCCAGACUCCUACGGGAGGCAGCAGUGGGGAAUAUUGCGCAAUGGGGGGAACCCUGACGCAGCCAUGCCGCGUGAAUGAAGAAGGCCUUCGGGUUGUAAAGUUCUUUCGGUAUUGAGGAAGGUUGAUGUGUUAAUAGCACAUCAAAUUGACGUUAAAUACAGAAGAAGCACCGGCUAACUCCGUGCCAGCAGCCGCGGUAAUACGGAGGGUGCGAGCGUUAAUCGGAAUAACUGGGCGUAAAGGGCACGCAGGCGGUUAUUUAAGUGAGGUGUGAAAGCCCUGGGCUUAACCUAGGAAUUGCAUUUCAGACUGGGUAACUAGAGUACUUUAGGGAGGGGUAGAAUUCCACGUGUAGCGGU